GACGGAGGAUGCGAGUGUUAUCCGGAAUCACUGGGCGUAAAGCGUUUGUAGGUUGUUUGGUAAGUCUGUUGUUAAAUCUUGAAGCUCAACUUCAAAACUGUAAUAGAAACUACUAGACUUGAGGAUAGUAGGGGUAAAGGGAAUUUCCAGUGGAGCGGUGAAAUGCGUAGAGAUUGGAAGGACCACCGAUGGCGAAGGCACUUUACUGGGCUAUUUCUGACACUAAGAAACGAAAGCUAGGGUAGCGAAUGGG
rnacentral:rRNA from 1 species